rnacentral:rRNA from 1 species
GGACCCGCACAAGUAGUGGAGCAUGUGGUUUAAUUCGAAGAUACGCGCAGAACCUUACCAACACUUGACAUGUUCGUCGCGACUUUAAGAGAUUAAAGUUUUCGGUUCGGCCGGACGAAACACAGGUGCUGCAUGGCUGUCGUCAGCUCGUGUCGUGAGAUGUUGGUUAAGUCCCGCAACGAGCGCAACCCUCACUUUUAGUUGCCAUCAUUAAGUUGGGCACUCUGAAAGAACUGCCAGUGAUAAGCUGGAGGAAGGUGGGGAUGACGUCAAGUCCUCAUGGCCCUUACGUGUUGGGCUACACACGUGCUACAAUGGUAUCUACAACGAGUCGCAAUACCGCGAGGUGGAG